AAUUCCCAAAUGGAAGCCCACUGGUCCUAAUCCUAAUUCCACUCACCCUCACCCUCACCCUCACCCUCACCCACACUAACACACACGCCGCAGCCCACAAACGCAACACACACAAAACACACGCACACCACAGUGAGAGGGAAACGGAAGAAAGGGAGGAGAAGAGGAGAAGGAGGGAGACGAUGCCAGCGGGGCUGGGUGCCGCCAUCGCUGCCGCUGUCGCUAGAGGGAGAGGGGAUGCCCGGAAGAGGAGCAGGCGCGUAGAGGAGAGCGAGCCAGAGGAUAGGGAGAAGAUGCCUCUGUCGCCGCCAUGGGGAGCCGCAAGCCUUGUCGCCGUUGUCGUCGUGGGUCACCGCCAUCGCGCCAUGCUAUCGCUAGCUCUGUCGCGUCUUGUCGCCGUCUAGAAUGACGAGCAGAGAGCGAGAGAGAGCUCGCGGUGGAGAGAGAGGAGACGCCGCUUCGGAGAACGGUGCUGUUGUCACCGAGAUCCACUGCUGCCACCGUCGUCGAGUUGCAUGCAGAUGUCAGAGCCGUUCCUUAGCAACGCCACUGCUGCCAAACCGCCGAAGCUUUGUCACCGUUCUUCUUGCUGGAAAAGUACCGGCAGCAUCACUGCCUUGUUCCCCUUGGUAAAAAUGAUUAUUUGGCUCUGUUUUCGUUUACUGUAAUACUCUAUUACUAAUUAUGUUCUAAUUCUACUUAAUAUCAAUCUCGCGUUAAAUCCAAAUUAUGUCAGAUAUGAGUUGUUGCUGCUGUAUUUAUUGUGGUCACUUGGAAAUCAUCAAGGCUAGUGCUUCGUUCUUUUGUUGCAGUUAGUUAAACCUGUUCCAAAACUAUCACUGCUAGCGUUCUGAUUAAUGGUUAUUAAGAUUUUAGAUUCUGAUGUCUAAGGGUCAAAGUGCAAACGGUGAAUGUUAUUGCUACCCCGGAUUGAUAAGAAAGGGAUUUAUUGCAUUUUAAUUGCGGCUAAUUGAGGUAGGGGAUUUAAAUUUAAAAAAAAUGUUUUAAACUUUGAAUACCCGACAAAUUUAGUAGAUUAAUGCAAAAGAAUGAAUAUCAGGGAUGUAAAUGAUUUUCUGCUGUAAUUGAAUAUGUUGUGUUUGUUAGUGAUUGGUUAAUUUCUGAAUUUUGGUGGGACUGGUUGAUUUUAUUGUGUUUGAAUUUUUUGAAGAAUUAUUUAGCAGCAUUGGAAGCAAUUUUUUAAUUUUUCAGUAAAAAAUUAGUUGAAAAAAAGAUUGAAAUGUGAUUUUAAAGUUUGAAAAUGAAUGGCCGAUGAUAGCUUGGAAUAUGUAAAUGUUAUUGUUGGCUAUUGAAGCCGGUUGAGGUUGAAUUGAGGAAACCCACGAAGGGUGGUAAACUCCAGCUUUUAGGGGAUGUUCUGCUGGAAUUUUUGUAAAAAUUGAAGAGUUUUAGAAGUUUUGGUUAUGGUUUCAGAAAUGAGUUUGGUUUGAUUAACUUUAUCAAAAGAGAUAUGUCUUGAAUACAUUUAAAGAUUUUAAAGAAAAUUAGAUUCUUAUGAUUUCGUUAAUUCAUGAUUUUUAACUCAUUUGAUUUUUGAUAAGAACAAAAAGAGAUUUGAUUAACUAGCUAAAGAUUUAAAAAAAAAGUGAAUUAAUUAUAAAUUCAAGUGUUUGGGAAUAGGAGAGUGAGAUUGAGAUUUUAAUGGAUUUAAGCAUAAGAGUUGAGAGAGAGUUAUUUUAAGGAAUAUGAUGAUAAAUUGUGUGAUGUUUGAUUUGGAGGAAAGUCAUGAGACAGUUAAGACAAAAUAUUGGGGUUUUAAUGAGUCGUUGCGUGUUAGGAAGAAUGGAUAUGGUUUAGGCUUUGAAAAUGGAUGAGGUUUGAGGGUAUUGAUCUCAAAGGAAAAGGGUUUGAGAAGUGUUAUUGUGAAUGUUGCUUGAAAUUGAUGAUUAGGAAAGUUUGGCUUGUCAAUCUAUAAAGUGAUUAAUUAGAAAAAUCUGAUUCGAUAAGAUUGAAUGGAUUAUGUCGUGUUUGAGUUAGAUUAUUGUUGGCUAUAAAUGAUUAUGUUCUAAUUGAGUCAGUAUACAACCUUGACCUCGAGUCUAAAGUGUCGUAUUAGACAUCUCAUACUCGCAAGCUGUAUGCACGGCCUACGUCCAAUCUGGUGCAUGUUUAAGUGUGCGGAGUAGAGUUCUGGCGUUGAGUUAUUGAUGAGUAUGAUGAGAAUUUUGAUUUAAGUUGAGACAUGUGCGAGAUAUUAUGAUUGAUGUUGAUUAUGUUAUUGAUGAAUUGAUUAGUAAUGAUUAAGAAUGUGGUGUUGGUUCCGGCUGAUUAUAUUUACGUGGGAUGAUGAUUGUGGUUGAUGAGAAUUAUGAUGUGACUAGUGGCAAUUAUGAUUAUGUUAAAUGAUAAAUUUUAUGAUGAGAUAGAUGAUGAUUGAGUAUGGCUGAAUUGGCAAGGUCUGGCUGUUAUCCCUCUUGCAUAAUGAAUUAAAUUUGAUUGAGAGAUACCUACCUAGAUAGAUGUAGUAGUAUUGUUCCACUUGCUCCGGGUUGUCGUUUGAGAUUCUGGGGUAGAUGAAAGGAUGGUCGCUUUGUCCUGCUUGCUCCUAGUUUGUAUUUGAUCUUCUGGGGUAGAUGAAAGGAUGAUGAUUUUAUCCCGCUUGCUCCCAGAUGUUGACCCUCCAUCACAAGAUGUGACCGGACACUUAGACCUUUUCGGAUAUUAUUCUUCCAAGAGAUGUGAAUCCCACUUGAGAGAUACGCUCAAGUAGGGACUGUCCAGGGUUAGUUACCGGACAUUCGGAUUUGGCUGUAUAACUGACAGAUGAACUCAUUAGCCAUAGGGCAGACAUGCAUCAUUUGCAUUUGUGUGUAUUGUUUGGGUGUGAAUCUUGUAUUUGGUUUGCUUAAUUGAAUAAUUGCAUCUAUCUGCUAUUUGAUCUAAUUGCUCUAUCUGUACUCUCUUUAUGUAUUCUUUGUAUUGUUUUGUCUGUGUUUGAAAACUGAGAGAUCCCUCAUGUUGGCGGUGGUAACGCUGAGGGUUGUUCCUAAUGUGGUGAUGGAAGUUAAGGCAGAUUGGACAUGGUAUUGCUCUGAUACUCUAGAUUAUGUACUAGAUGGAUACAGGGGCGGAGCUAGAAAUUUUUUUGGGAGGGGCAAACAUAAAAAAAAAUAAGUUAAGAAGAGAGAAAAAUUAAUAAUUAAAAGAGAGUUAAACUAAAAAAUUGGAAGUUUGGGAGAGGCCAUUGCCCCUUUUUCCAUGAACGUGGCUCUGCCACUGGAUGGAUAGGAAUGAACGAUGUAAACGAUUUACUUUUUAAACGAUUUACUUUACGGAUUUGUAAACUAAAGAAGAUUUUUUAAGACCUUUUCGAAGUAAGAUUUCUUAUAAAGUUUUUCCAAAGUGUUUUUUAAAAAGAAAAUGUUUUUGUAAUGGGAUUCUUUCUAUUUGCAAGUAUUUCUUUGCUUUGAUGGUAUUCUCUUCCCUAACGAAAACUUGCGAGGACAAUCUUAUCACCCUUACAGAUUUUCUUUUUCAUUGAGAGGUUCAUGAGGCUUUGGUGCGAAGCUGCGACUAAACUACAGAGUUAUAUGUAUUUGUA